UUGCUUCCACAGCACAUAUACUAAAAUUGGAACAAUACAGAGAAGAUUAACAUGGCCCAUGCUUAAGGAUGAUAUGCAAAUUUGUGAAGCACCACUUUUUUUU